AGGACGAACGCUGGCGGCACGCCUAACACAUGCAAGUCGAACGGAGAUUGAGAGCUUGCUCUUAAAUCUUAGUGGCGGACGGGUGAGUAACACGUGAGCAACCUGCCUCUGAGAGAGGGAUAGCUUCUGGAAACGGAUGGUAAUACCUCAUAACAUUACAUGACCGCAUGAUCGUGUAAUCAAAGAUUUAUCACUCAGAGAUGGGCUCGCGUCUGAUUAGCUAGUUGGUGAGGUAACGGCCCACCAAGGCGACGAUCAGUAGCCGGACUGAGAGGUUGAACGGCCACAUUGGGACUGAGACACGGCCCAGACUCCUACGGGAGGCAGCAGUGAGGGAUAUUGCACAAUGGAGGAAACUCUGAUGCAGCGAUGCCGCGUGGAGGAAGAAGGUUUUCGGAUUGUAAACUCCUGUUUCGAGGGACGAUAAUGACGGUACCUCGGGAGGAAGCUCCGGCUAACUACGUGCCAGCCGCCGC
rnacentral:rRNA from 1 species